CAGCAGCCACGGUAAUACAGAGGGUGCGAGCGUUAAUCGGAUUUACUGGGCGUAAAGCGUGCGUAGGCGGCUUUUUAAGUCGGAUGUGAAAUCCCUGAGCUUAACUUAGGAAUUGCAUUCGAUACUGGGAAGCUAGAGUAUGGGAGAGGAUGGUAGAAUUCCAGGUGUAGCGGUGAAAUGCGUAGAGAUCUGGAGGAAUACCGAUGGCGAAGGCAGCCAUCUGGCCUAAUACUGACGCUGAGGUACGAAAGCAUGGGGAGCAAACAGGAUUAGAGACCCCUGUAGUCCCUGUCUCUUAUAC
rnacentral:rRNA from 1 species